GCCCCAGUGGGGACUCUGCAUGAGAAAUCCAACUUCACAUUUCCCUUCAAGAUCAAGGAAAAAGGAACAUAAUUUUGGAUUGGGCUGAAUGUAUUGAUAUGAGAACAUUUGUCUUCCUGGUUUUGGUAUUUGGAUGAUACUGGCUUCACAGAAUGACUUAGGGAGGAUUCCCUUUUUCUCCACUUUUGGAAUAGUUUCAGCAGGAUUGGUACCAAUUCUUCUUUGAAUGUCUGAUAGAAUUCAAUUGUGAAUCCAUCUGGUCCUGGACUUAUUUUUGUUGCAAUUUUUAAAAAUUACUGAUUCAUUGUUACUGCUUGUUAUUGGUCUGUUCCGGGUUUCUAUUUCUUCCUGAUUGAAUCUAGGAGGGUUGUAUAUUUCCACAAAUUUGUGUGUUGAUCUUGUAUUUGCCCAUUCUUUACUAAAUAUCUUAUUAGUUCUAAAAUUUCAGCUGUAAGUAAUAUUUCCCUUUCUCAUGUUGGUACCUCUUAAUUACUUUUCUUAUCAAAUCUCAUUGUCUACAACUUAUAGUCUAAACUUGGAGAUGACACAGCAGGUAUCCUUGUCUUGUUCCUGACUUUAG
rnacentral:lncRNA from 1 species